AUACUUACCUGGCGUUGGGGCCUCGUUAAUCACGGAUGGCGAGCCCCCUAGGUGAAGCGCAGGCGUUGCACUGCGCUCGCGUUGACCACUGCCACUAUACUAAUCUGGGCCGGAUGGCCACGCAAACAUC
rnacentral:snRNA from 1 species